UAAAGAAAAUGUAUCGUGGUCUCUGCCAGCAUGACCUCACUCCAGAAUGUUCUUUCGACAUUCCAUCAGCCCUCAGUGAGACCAAGAAGCAGAACUCAUGAGAGGCCAAGCGCAGAGAAGAUCUAGAACGAGAACAAAAUGCUUUUGCACAACACCGUUGGUCUAAAUGCAAUCGGAAUGAAAAUAAUAUUUUCAAUAGUGAAGAUGAAGCACCAUCAAUCACAAGGGGAUUCCAAGAGAAAAGCACUGGAGCAGUGUUGCUUUCCACCUCUAGAGGGCACUAUCCCACAAGCAGUGAUGUAGAGAAUACGAAGCAAGAAGAACCCAUGAUCCAAGUUGAUGUAAACCAGCUUCUUAUAUUCCUAUUCUUUGCUAUUUGCUUCCCCAUUGCCCACAAAUACACACCUUGCAUUAUGAGACAGAGAUCUGACCUUACAUAUCAAAGGUGGAGGAUCUCUUUCAUCUCAAAGUGUGAACUCAGUUCUCGGGGAGUUCCUAUGGACCACGUUCCAGUGGUGGGCAGAGCUAGAGGAUAG
rnacentral:lncRNA from 1 species